rnacentral:rRNA from 1 species
AAAAGAUCCGACCUCAGAUCAGACGAGACAACCCGCUGAAUUUAAGCAUAUUACUAAGCGGAGGAAAAGAAACUAACCAGGAUUCCCUCAGUAGCGGCGAGCGAAGAGGAAAGAGCCCAGCGCCGAAUCCCCGUCCGAUGGCGGGCGUGGGAAUUGGCGUACGGAAGACCGCUGCCGGUGUCGUCGGGGGCCUGAGUCCUUCUGAUCGAGGCUCCCGUGGAGGUGUGAGCCGGUAGCCCCCGCCGCGCCGGGUCCGGUCUUCUCGAGUCGGGUUGUUUGGGAAUGCGCCCAAAGCGGGUGGUAAACUCCAUCUAGGCUAAUCCGGCACAGACCGAUUCGACAGUACCUUAAGGGAAA